rnacentral:lncRNA from 1 species
GAUCAAAUGUCACAAAUUUCUCUAUAAACACUCCAACAUUUCCCUACAAGUUCUAGGAUUCAAGAUCAAUCUCAGAGGAUCUUGAAUUCAAAUACAAAUCGAAAACAAGUUCAUCAAGAUCCGAGAGAGAAAACAAAUUACGAUUAUUGCAAUAUGUUUCAAUUUUCUCGAUACGAAUUUUAUUCUUUAUAAUAAUAUAACUCGUCCACGUAUACAAGAUAUAUGAUUUCUCGAGCGUGAGAUCGUCUUGUGUGACGAUCAAUAGAGACAGGUAUUUCUCUAUCACUCGAACUGACUGCAUUUUAGUUUUUGGACCUACGUUACUUUGUUAUUUGUUCGGAUUUUGGACCAGACUGCUUAGGCUGUUCAGAUCCAAGUUGCAUGCUCAGUGCUCACCUACCUUGUUGUGAUGGUUUUUGUGGCGUAUUCAAAAUUUAAAAUAUAUAAAUUAUUGAGGUAAUCUCAAAUUGACUAAUAUAUAGUAACAAUAAUUGAAUUUAUAGGUUAUUCAUACAUAUAUUUAAUAAAUUUAUCAACAAUAAUAUACCUAGUAUUUCAUACAAGUGGAAUUUAGCGGGUAAAAUAUAGGAUGGCCUUAUCAUUAGGACAGAUUAUUAAAAGCAAGAACUAACAAUAUUAUAUAUCAAAAUCAGGAACUACACUAAAACAAUUAGUAGAAUGGCAGCCACCAACUAUCCUACUAUCUAAGGUCAUGACCUCGAUAACUUGAAGUUGCGUCAUAUCUUGUCUUAUCACCUCUACUCUUCCUUCUUUAGCCUACAUCUGGCUCUCCUCGUACCCUUUAUAACCAACCACUCCCACCUUCUUAGUGGUGCAUCUACACAUCUCCUAUUUACAUGUUCAAACCAUCUCAGUUGCGUUAUUCUCAUCUUAUCCACCACGGUAAUCAGUCUCACCUCUUUCUGAAUAUCCUCGUUCCUAAUCUUAUCUCACAGAAAUCCAAAGGCUUAAUCCGAUUCUGCAUUAAAAAAGAUGUGUGGUAGUUUAGGAGGAUCUGGUUAACAUAAAAUAGUUUGGGUUUCAAUUUUUAACAAGUUCAACAAGAGUUGCGAUAGUAGAUACAUCCAAUCGUUAAAGCAAAUGGAGAGAGACAGAAAGCCAAAAGGCAAAUCUUCCAAGUCCCCAUCAAUUUGCAUGAUAGGAAGUAUUUGGAUAUCCCUACGAACAGACCGAAAAAUAGAAAACAAUGAACUGAACAGAAGAUCAGUAAGCAGUUGAUAAUGUGUUGUCCAGUACAUUUUCCAUAGAUUACACUUGUGCAUGACUUUCAAGGUGUAAACAAGCAAAGAAACCAGGGCUGAAUACCUAAAGAGUGCAAGUGCUUAAAACCACAACAGCCUCAAACUAGAAAAUACGGGAGAAUCACAAGGAAACAAAAAUCUAACACAAGCAACCUGUACAAAUGUAUAUUAGCAGUACUUUUAUCUCUCAUAAAAACCCACCCACCCCACGGAGCAACUCAACCCUUCCAUCCAGGAUAACUCAUAUUGUUGUCAAGAUCACUGCUAAGAAAACCAUUUUCAGCAAAUUCCUGAACCAUCUCAGGGGUAAGAAUAUCAUCAUCUGAUACAUGCAUAUUUGUGGGCAAAUCUGGACCUUUUCGACUGAAGCCACUGUUGCCAGCCGAUGAAGACGGUUCACAGUUAGAUCCCGAUUUGAAACUGUAACUUCGGGGCAAAUCUGGAGCUUUUUGACUGAAACCACUGUUGCCAACCAAUGGAGAGGGUUCACGGUUGGAUGCUGAUUUAAAACUGUAGAUUCUACUCGGUGUGGGUCCUAAACUGCUCCCCGGCCCAUGAGAAGAUGUUGCAGCAGCUAG